AAAAAUAACAAUACGGGACUCUACCGAGGCCUCGUAAUUGGAAUGAGUACAAUUUAAAAUCCUUAACGAGGAUCUAUUGGAGGGCAAGUCUGGUGCCAGCAGCCGCGGUAAUUCCAGCUCCAAUAGCGUAUAUUAAAGUUGUUGCGGUUAAAAAGCUCGUAGUUGGAUCUCAGUUCUGGGUGAGCACGGGUCCGCCAUAACAUUGGUGGACUGCUGACUUGCCCGGUGCAAAACCGCCCGGCUUCCCCCACGGUGCUCUUCACCGAGUGUCGUGGGUGGCCGACACGUUUACUUUGAGAAAACCAGAGUGCUUAAAGCAGGCGCAAGACGCCCGAAUGACUGUGCAUGGAAUAAUGGAAGAGGAUCUCGCUUCUGUCUUUGUUGGUUCCUCGGAAGGCGAGAUAAUGAUUAAUAGAAGCAGUCGGGGGCAUUCGUAUUGCGACGUUAGAGGUGAAAUUCUUGGAUCGUCGCACGACGAACUACUGCGAAAGCAUUUGCCAAGAAUGUUUUCGUUAAUCAAGAACGAAAGUUAGAGGUUCGAAGGCGAUCAGAUACCGCCCUAGUUCUAACCAUAAACGAUGCCGACUGGCGAUCUGUCCUAGUUACUCGCACGACUGGACAGGCAGCCUCCGGGAAACCAAAGUCUUUGGGUUCCGGGGGAAGUAUGGUUGCAAAGCUGAAACUUAAAGGAAUUGACGGAAGGGCACCACCAGGAGUGGAGCCUGCGGCUUAAUUUGACUCAACACGGGAAACCUCACCAGGCCCGGACACCAAAAGGAUUGACAGAUUGAGAGCUCUUUCUUGAUUUGGUGGGUGGUGGUGCAUGGCCGUUCUUAGUUGGUGGAGCGAUUUGUCUGGUUAAUUCCGAUAACGAACGAGACUCUAGCCUGUUAACUAGCCGGUGGAUCAUUAAAUUGAUAUGCGGUGAAGUGUUGGUGUUACCUUUCGAGGUGCAUCUCACAUAGUCGCGUCCACCGCGUC
rnacentral:rRNA from 1 species